UAAAACUUUCAACAACGGAUCUCUUGGUUCUGGCAUCGAUGAAGAACGCAGCGAAAUGCGAUAAGUAAUGUGAAUUGCAGAUUUCAGUGAAUCAUCGAAUCUUUGAACGCACAUUGCGCCCUCUGGUAUUCCGGAGGGCAUGCCUGUUCGAGC
rnacentral:rRNA from 1 species